GGGGAAUAUUGCGCAAUGGGGGAAACCCUGACGCAGCAAUACCGCGUGAGUGAAGAAGGUUUUCGGAUCGUAAAGCUCUGUUAUUGGGGAAGAAAAAAAGACGGUACCCAAGAAGAAAGUCCCGGCUAACUACGUGCCAGCAGCCGCGGUCAUACGUAGGGGACAAGCGUUGUCCGGAUUUACUGGGCGUAAAGGGCACGCAGGCGGUUUUUUAAGUCAGAUGUGAAAGGUACCGGCUCAACCGGUGACAUGCAUUUGAAACUGAAAGACUUGAGUGCAGGAGAGGAAACUGGAAUUCCUAGUGUAGCGAUGAAAUGCGUAGAUAUUAGGAGGAACACCAGUAGCGAAGGCGGCUUUCUGGACUGUAACUGACACUGAGGCACGAAAGCGUGAGGAGCAAACA
rnacentral:rRNA from 1 species